GACGAACGCUGGUGGCGUGCCUAAUACAUGCGAGUAGAACGCUGAAGGAGGAGCUUGCUUCUCUGGAUGAGUUGCGAACGGGUGAGUAACGCGUAGGUAACCUGCCUGGUAGCGGGGGAUAACUAUUGGAAACGAUAGCUAAUACCGCAUAAGAGUAGAUGUUGCAUGACAUUUGCUUAAAAGGUGCAAUUGCAUCACUACCAGAUGGACCUGCGUUGUAUUAGCUAGUUGGUGGGGUAACGGCUCACCAAGGCGACGAUACAUAGCCGACCUGAGAGGGGGAUCGGCCACACUGGGACUGAGACACGGCCCAGACUCCUACGGGAGGCAGCAGUAGGGAAUCUUCGGCAAUGGACGGAAGUCUGACCGAGCAACGCCGCGUGAGUGAAGAAGGUUUUCGGAUCGUAAAGCUCUGUUGUAAGAGAAGAACGAGUGUGAGAGUGGAAAGUUCACACUGUGACGGUAUCUUACCAGAAAGGGACGGCUAACUACGUG
rnacentral:rRNA from 1 species